AAUAGAGACUGGUAUGAAUGGCACCACGAAGGUUCAACUGUCUCCCAAAUCUAAUCAGUGAAACUGAUCUCCCCGUGCAGAAGCGGGGAUUUCCACAUAAGACGAGAAGACCCUAUGGAGCUUUAAACUAGGACCACCUGUUUUUCUUUUCAAACCAAUCAGGCAUAACCACUAGCUAAGCAGAUCUGGCUCCCUUGUUUUCGGUUGGGGCGACCACGGAGAAAAAAAAAUCCUCCAUGAAGAAAGGAAAUCUCUCCUAAACCAAGAACCACAUUUCUAAGUAUCAGAACUUCUGACUAUAAUUGAUCCAGUCUGACUGAUCAACGAACCAAGUUACCCUAGGGAUAACAGCGCAAUCUAUUUUAAGAGUUCAUAUCGACAAAUAGGUUUACGACCUCGAUGUUGGAUCAGGGCCCCCCAGUGGUGCAGCCGCUACUAACGGUUNGUUUGUU
rnacentral:rRNA from 1 species